UAGUUACCCCUAUUGUGUCUUAAUUGGUCUGAUCAGCCAGUAUAUAAACCCCUGUGUGUCAUUUCUUUGUUAGGUCAGUUAUGUUUGUUUGUGCAGCCAGUUUGUUUACAUUUUUUGCCUGAGUUCAGUUUUGUUUCUUUGACCUCUUUUAUGAGCUUAGUUUAUCUUUUGUUAUUUAUAAUCUUUGGGUUAAAAUAAAAAAAAACCUAUUUUUGUAAUAUGUCCUGUGACUCCUCCUGUUUUUAACUCGGUCCAUCACAACCUUACAAUUAGUUGUCAAUACGUGGGCUAUUAGAUCAAAAUGAAUUCCUAUCGAUUAACUAAUAACGUCCGCUUAACCCUCUUUCAGUGUUGUAGUUUGGCCGCCAUCCAGCAGAGGGCGCCGCUGGUCAUCUUUAUUAGCGGAGCCGUUGAGACAAGAAUCAAAGAUGGCGGCCAUGCCAGGACGGUACAGAGAAACGGUCCAAAAGGAGUUCGGAGUGGGAUCCGAGCUGAGUGACGGAGUACCGGCAACUUCUCAACUAAAAAUGACUGAUGUGCCACGACAGAAAAACGGAGAAAAAGUAACAUGAUGGGGGAAAACAUGGCGAUAAAAGGGGUAGAAAAUCCAAAACCUUCCUACUCAAACUCUCAUGAGCUGGUAGUCGAGCUCCGGGUCGCUCAUCUCCACCUCCUGCAGCUUGAAGAUCCUCUGGUGGCAGCGCUGACUCAGCUGCUUCUUCUGCUCCUUCAGACACUCGAUCAUCUGGGAAGACAUGGCUGAAAGGCGGUCUGGAUGACGGAUUCACAGGCCUCGUUCAGCGCUCUGUCGAUCCGACGCUGUCGAUGGCGCUGCUGCGGUCGCCUCGGCCGAGUCGCAUCAAGCAGUGCAGCGUCCGGCCCUUACGGUGCAAACCGGAGCACUGGGCCUCGAUCUCCGUCCGGCAGUGAAGGACGAUCUCCGGGCUCAAGGAGAAA